ACGGUAGCUAAUACCGCAUAAUGUCGGGAGACUAAAGUGGGGGAUUAUAAAUGUAUUUUUAUAACCUCAUGUCAUUGGAUGAACCCAGACGAGAUUAGCUAGUAGGUAAGGUAAUGGCUUACCUAGGCUACGAUCUCUAGCUGGUCUAAGAGGAUGGACAGCCACACUGGAACUGAGAUACGGUCCAGACUCCUACGGGAGGCAGCAGUGGGGAAUAUUGCACAAUGGGGGAAACCCUGAUGCAGUCAUGCCGCGUGUGUGAAGAAGGCCUUAGGGUUGUAAAGCACUUUCAGCAGGUAAGAAGUUAGUUGUACUAAUAAUACAAUUAAUUGACGUCAACUGCAGAAGAAGCACCGGCUAACUCCGUGCCAGCAGCCGCGGUAAUACGGAGGGUGCGAGCGUUAAUCGGAAUUACUGGGCGUAAAGGGUACGUAGGCUGUUUAUUAAGUCGGAUGUGAAAUCCCUAAGCUUAACUUAGGAACUGCAUUCGAAACUGAUAUUCUAGAGUCUCGUAGAGGGGAGUAGAAUUCCAGGUGUAGCGGUGAAAUGCGUAGAGAUCUGGAGGAAUACCAGUGGCGAAGGCGACUCCCUGGACGAAGACUGACGCUCAGGUACGAAAGCAUGGGGAGCAAACAGGAUUAGAUACCCUGGUAGUCCAUGCCGUAAACGAUGUCGAUUUGAAGGUUGCAGAUAGUUAUAUUGUGGCUUUCGUAGCUAACGCGUUAAAUCGACCGCCUGGGAAGUACGGCCGCAAGGCUAAAACUCAAAUGAAUUGACGGGGGCCCGCACAAGCGGUGGAGCAUGUGGUUUAAUUCGAUGCAACACGAAGAACCUUACCUACUCUUGACAUCCAAAGAACUUAACAGAAAUGUUUUGGUGCCUUCGGGAACUUUGAGACAGGUGCUGCAUGGCUGUCGUCAGCUCGUGUUGUGAAAUGUUGGGUUAAGUCCCGCAACGAGCGCAACCCUUAUCCUUUGUUGCCAGCGAUACGGUCGGGAACUCAAAGGAAACUGCCAGUGAUAAACUGGAGGAAGGCGGGGAUGACGUCAAGUCAUCAUGGCCCUUACGAGUAGGGCUACACACGUGCUACAAUGGUAUAUACAAAGAGAAGCUA
rnacentral:rRNA from 1 species